AUGGACCCGCACAGACCUGCACGGACCCCAGGGCUGCCCGAUCCCCCGCUCCUCCCCGCGAGGAGUCGCCUCCACCCAACCCCGCAGAAGAGUGGGGGAACUACUCUUCCCACUCUCCCUCCGACGGCUUUGCCGUUGUCCAGCAGUGCCCGCCAGGACCACCGUGCCGGUGGGAGGAGGCUGGCUGCCUCCAGCUUGUCUGCCAAGGGACCAUCGCAGAGACCUCCAAGGACCGGUGCGCCCUUGAGCGUGCACCCUCCACCCAAGGCAGAAAGCCGGGCUGACUGGCAGAGGUGGGAAGAGGACAACCCCGAGGACAACCCCUUUGGCUUUCACGACCCAAACCCCGAAGCUCUGCACGCCUGUUCCUCUCCUCAGACGAAAAAUAAAGGGCAGCAGCAAAUCACCCUGUCAAGCACCAUACGGCCCACGACAAAAGGGUCUCCGGGGAUGCCAAGGGACCUUAAAGCAGGAGGCACGUUUAGCAGGAACGUCUGCAUAAACGAGAAGCAGGAGUUUUGGGAGCUGCUGGCUGUUAAUGAAAAAGAAAACCUGGAGACCCACCGUUACGCACCUCGCGUUUCCCUGGGAAAGGAUCUUCCAGCCCACCGGUCCUCAGAGGAGAGGCAGCUGCUGCUCGCCUUAAAGCGUGAAACCCCAGAGACGGAGACACCAUGGGGCUUUGACGCCUCCUGCUCUGGGGCCGGGGGAGGAAGGCCGCGGGGGAGGAAGGCCGCGGGGGGAGGAAGGCCGUGGGGGGAGGAAGGCCGCGGGGGCAGUGCGGGACACGGGCACACGUCCCACGGCCGUGGCUCACCCGGCGCGGGCAGCAGGUCGCGCGUCACCCACCUCCUCUCACCCGCGUCCCCGGGGCGCACGACCCACCUGGGGCGCCUCAGCCUCUGCUCUGGUGUCAUUUGGCAGAAAAGCGCUAUUAAAUGUUGCUUCAAAGGUGGGAGUCUCGCUGCCGCUGCCAUCUGUUCCCGUCUUCGGGGGGCCGGCAGGGGCGCCGCGGCGGCAGGGAGGAGGCGCUCCCCGUCUCGCGGGGCGCUCGCCGGCGCGGCGCUUGCUCAUCCGACCGGCUGCUCCUCCUCCCGGCAGGGAAACGUCUGA
rnacentral:lncRNA from 1 species